rnacentral:rRNA from 1 species
AAGUAAAAAGUCGUAACAAGGUUUCCGUAGGUGAACCUGCGGAAGGAUCAUUAUUGAAUUUUAAUGAAGGGAUUUGGUUGUAGCUGGCUCAUGAAUUUGAGCAUGUGCACACCUUUUCUCUUUCAUCCACACACACCUGUGCACCUGUGAGGCAGAUGGGGAAUUUACUGAUUGUUUUUUUUAAGAACAAUUGGUGCUGGACCCUCUGUCUACUUUAACCAAUAUAAACUCAAUAUAUUUUAAAAAUGAAUGUAACGGAUGUAACACAUCUAAUACUAAGUUUCAACAACGGAUCUCUUGGCUCUCGCAUCGAUGAAGAACGCAGCGAAAUGCGAUAAGUAAUGUGAAUUGCAGAAUUCAGUGAAUCAUCGAAUCUUUGAACGCACCUUGCGCUCCUUGGUAUUCCUUGGAGCAUGCCUGUUUGAGUAUCAUGAAAUCUUCAAAGUAGAUCCUUUUGUUAACUCGAUUGGUUCUGCUUUGGUUUUGGAGGUCUUUGCAGUUUCACACCUGCUCCUCUUUGUGUAUUAGCUGGAUCUCAGUGUUAUGCUUGGUUCCACUCGGCGUGAUAAGUUAUCUAUCGCUGAGGACACUGUAAAAAGUGGCCAAGGGAAAUGCAGAUGAGCCGCUUCUAAUGGUCCAUUUAUUCGGACAAUAAUUUCUUUAUGAUUUGAUCUCAAAUCAGGUAGGACUACCCGCUGAACUUAAGCAUAUCAAUAA